UACGGAGGGGGCUAGCGUUGUUCGGAAUUACUGGGCGUAAAGCGCGCGUAGGCGGACCUGCAAGUCGGGGGUGAAAGCCCGAGGCUCAACCUCGGAACUGCCUUCGAUACUGCGGGUCUCGAGUCCGGGAGAGGUGAGUGGAAUUCCUAGUGUAGAGGUGAAAUUCGUAGAUAUUAGGAAGAACACCAGGUGGCGAAGGCGGCUCCAGCUGGCC
rnacentral:rRNA from 1 species